rnacentral:tRNA from 1 species
UGGGGUAUAGACAAGCGGUAAGUCAUUGGUUUUUGAUACCAACAUGCGGAGGUUCGAAUCCUCCUACCCCAACCA